rnacentral:lncRNA from 1 species
CGAGACAGCACCGGGUCUCACCCUGGCAAGGCAUGAGGCUGUGUGCUGCCAGAACGACCAGCAGGGGGCGCAAAGGCCACUCCAGGCACCUGCUGGCCUCGGAGAAAACAGAAAGGAAAUCAGGAAGCCCACUCCUGCUGUCCUUUCUCUGCAAGGAAAUGUGGCAGGGCACUGCAGCCCAGACAGUCGGCAGUAGAGGACCCAUGAAGUAUCUUUGUGCAAAGAAAGCAGCAAAGAGAAUUGCAUCAUAUAAAGAGUGAAUUAAACCAUCUAAAGGAGCAAAAAGUCAUCAUCACAUGGACAAGAAAUUAAGACAUAACAUCCAUAUCACUAUUUGCAAAGUGGUUUAUUCCUACAGACAAUGCAGAUAUGUAAAAAGCUGGAAUCCUAGGAGCAGAAGCCCAGCAUAAAGAUCUCUGAAAGCCUGGAUGCGUGGAUUCCUCUCUUAUUUCCCAAAACCAUGGGGUAGAAAU